rnacentral:tRNA from 1 species
UGGGACGUAGCCAAGCGGCAAGGCGACGGACUUUGACUCCGUUAUGCGUAGGUUCGAAUCCUACCGUCCCAGCCA